rnacentral:rRNA from 1 species
GAUGAACGCUAGCGGCAGGCCUAAUACAUGCAAGUCGAACGGUGUCUUCGGACAUAGUGGCGCACGGGUGCGUAACACGUAUGCAACCUACCUUACAUUGGGGGAUAGCCUUUCGAAAGGGAGAUUAAUACCGCAUAAGACAGUAGCUGGGCAUCCAGCAGCUGUUAAAGAUUUAUCGAUGUAAGCUGGGCAUGCGUCCAAUUAGCUAGUUGGUGAGGUAACGGCUCACCAAGGCAAUGAUUGGUCGGGGAACUGAGAGGUCAAUCCCCCACACUGGCACUGGGAUACGGGCCAGACUCCUACGGGAGGCAGCAGUAGGGAAUAUUGGGCAAUGGACGCAAGUCUGACCCAGCCAUGCCGCGUGCAGGAUGAAGGCGUUAUGCGUUGUAAACUGCUUUUAUACAGGAAGAAACGACUCUUGCGAGAGGCGUUGACGGUACUGUAUGAAUAAGCACCGGCUAACUCCGUGCCAGCAGCCGCCGUAAGAC